UUUUAUAUUGCCAUUUUUUCAUAUAUUACUUGUAUUUAGAGUUUGCAGUUAUAGUUUUCAUCGUCUUACAUUAAAAAAACCUUGAAAAGGAAAAACCAAAACGCACACAGAUAUUAUUUACAAAUAACAAUUAUAGAUAUAAUAAAAAAAUUUGUUAACAAUUGAUCAACAAAAACUUUGGUUUACCAUUUAAAUGGUGAUUUUUGGACUAACUAUAGAAGUUCAGGUUGUAUGAAUACAAACAAUGAUAUGGGUGCAUAUAUCAUUAAAUGGAAUUCAAUAAUUGAUCAAUAAUAGAAAGAAUGCUUUAAAAUGCAUAAAAGCCUAAAAAAACUUUUAUCUAUGAAAAUAAUUUUAAAAUGUCAUUUAUGUUCGAAUAAUAAUUUCAUGUGACAAAUUAAAGUCAUUGUAAAUGUAUAUAAGUUAGACGCAGAAUGACAUCAGCAGUUUAUCUUGGCAGUGGUGGUAUUCUCCAUCGUGCAUUAAUAUUUAUGUUAAAACUAGGAUGGAAAUCAAGAUUUCGUUUACCAGUAUUAAUUAUUGUAGCUUUUGUUGCUUUGGAUAUCAGCAUGCAGCUGGAAAUUGCAUUAGAGCAUGAAAAUGGUACAGAACAUACUGCUCAUUUAUGAUUCUUGAAUAGAAUCUUCUUGAUUUAAAUUUAUUGGAUGUUAAACAAUACUAUUGCUGUAACUAAAGCUAAAAAUCACCAUGAUUGAUGCGUUUCGCCGCGAGGGCCUCAGGAAAUUAAUUACUAUGGCGGCCAUUUUGAAAAAAAAAU